rfam:Ipomoea nil DNA, scaffold: scaffold1273, cultivar: Tokyo-kokei standard.
GGGGAUGUAGAUCAAAUGGUAGAGCGCUUGCUUAGCAUGCGAGAGGUACGGGGAUAGAUACCCUGCAUCUCCA